GCCCAGCACGGCCCGCUCCCGCCAUGUCCCUCAUCCCGGCCGCUGCCCUGGUGGGGGUUUGUUUUCUAGCCCCUCCUAGCCCCACUGGGGCUUCCCCCCAGCCUGGUCCCGGGAUUCUGCCGGGUGCCCCUGUCGGGCCUUGGGCACCCCCACAAAUCCUGUCACUGCUGCUCAAGGCUGCUACAGCACACUCUGGCUACCCGGCAAUGUGUUCAGCUAGGACCGUCGGCCUCGGCCUCGGAACACCUCAUUUUCUGCUAACACAGCCAGACACGCGAGCAGCUCCCAGCGGCGCUGGGACCGGCGGGCUCUCCAGGCUCACACCCUCGCUUUGACAGCACGACCGGGACUGGGAUCACAGAAACCCUUGGGAAGCCAAGGCCGGAUGGAAGCAGUGAGAUCAUACACAGGCCACUGAAGGAUUGUAAAUUCCUA